UACGGAGGGUGCAAGCGUUAUCCGGAUUCACUGGGUUUAAAGGGAGCGUAGGUGGCUUUGUAAGUCAGUGGUGAAAUGUCGCAGCUUAACUGCGAAACUGCCAUUGAUACUGCUUAGCUUGAAUCACGUCGAGGUGGACGGAAUAUUACAUGUAGCGGUGAAAUGCUUAGAUAUGUAAUAGAACACCGAUUGCGAAGGCAGUUCACUAGGCGUGUAUUGACACUGAGGCUCGAAAGCGUGGGGAUCAAACAGGAUUAGAUACCCUGGUAGUCCACGCCCUAAACGAUGUAAACUCGACAUUAGCGAUAUACUGUUAGUGUCCAAGCGAAAGCGUUAAGUUUACCACCUGGGAAGUACGACCGCAAGGUUGAA
rnacentral:rRNA from 1 species